rnacentral:rRNA from 1 species
GACGAACGCUGGCGGCGCGCCUAACACAUGCAAGUCGAACGAGCGAGAGAGAGCUUGCUUUCUCGAGCAAGUGGCGAACGGGUGAGUAACGCGUGAGGAACCUGCCUCAAAGAGGGGGACAACAGUUGGAAACGACUGCUAAUACCGCAUAAGCCCACGGGUCGGCAUCGACCAGAGGGAAAAGGAGCAAUCCGCUUUGAGAUGGCCUCGCGUCCGAUUAGCUAGUUGGUGAGGUAACGGCCCACCAAGGCGACGAUCGGUAGCCGGACUGAGAGGUUGAACGGCCACAUUGGGACUGAGACACGGCCCAGACUCCUACGGGAGGCAGCAGUGGGGAAUAUUGCACAAUGGGGGAAACCCUGAUGCAGCGACGCCGCGUGGAGGAAGAAGGUCUUCGGAUUGUAAACUCCUGUUGUUGGGGAAGAUAAUGACGGUACCCAACAAGGAAGUGACGGCUAACUACGUGCCAGCAGCCGCGGUAAAACGUAGGUCACAAGCGUUGUCCGGAAUUACUGGGUGUAAAGGGAGCGCAGGCGGGAAGACAAGUUGGAAGUGAAAUCUAUGGGCUCAACCCAUAAACUGCUUUCAAAACUGUUUUUCUUGAGUAGUGCAGAGGUAGGCGGAAUUCCCGGUGUAGCGGUGGAAUGCGUAGAUAUCGGGAGGAACACCAGUGGCGAAGGCGGCCUACUGGGCACCAACUGACGCUGAGGCUCGAAAGUGUGGGUAGCAAACAGGAUUAGAUACCCUGGUAGUCCACACCGUAAACGAUGAUUACUAGGUGUUGGAGGAUUGACCCCUUCAGUGCCGCAGUUAACACAAUAAGUAAUCCACCUGGGGAGUACGACCGCAAGGUUGAAACUCAAAGGAAUUGACGGGGGCCCGCACAAGCAGUGGAGUAUGUGGUUUAAUUCGACGCAACGCGAAGAACCUUACCAAGUCUUGACAUCCCUUGACGAUGCUGGAAACAGUAUUUCUCUUCGGAGCAAGGAGACAGGUGGUGCAUGGUUGUCGUCAGCUCGUGUCGUGAGAUGUUGGGUUAAGUCCCGCAACGAGCGCAACCCUUAUGGUCAGUUACUACGCAAGAGGACUCUGGCCAGACUGCCGUUGACAAAACGGAGGAAGGUGGGGAUGACGUCAAAUCAUCAUGCCCUUUAUGACUUGGGCUACACACGUACUACAAUGGCGUUAAACAAAGAGAAGCAAGACCGCGAGGUGGAGCAAAACUCAGAAACAACGUCCCAGUUCGGACUGCAGGCUGCAACUCGCCUGCACGAAGUCGGAAUUGCUAGUAAUCGUGGAUCAGCAUGCCACGGUGAAUACGUUCCCGGGCCUU